rnacentral:rRNA from 1 species
CCUACGGGUGGCUGCAGUGGGGAAUAUUGCACAAUGGGGGGAACCCUGAUGCAGCGACGCCGCGUGAGUGAAGAAGUAUCUCGGUACGUAAAGCUCUAUCAGCAGGGAAGAAAAUGACGGUACCUGACUAAGAAGCCCCGGCUAACUACGGGCCAGCAGCCGCGGUAAUACGGAGGGGGCAAGCGUUAACCGGAUUUACUGGGGGUAAAGGGAGCGUAGGCUGCACUGAAAGUCCGGCGUGAAAGCCCAAGGCUUAACCAUGGUACUGCUGUGGAAACUGUGGUGCUUGAGUGCGGGAGGGGCAGGCGGAAUGCCUAGUGUAGCGGUGAAAUGCGUAGAUAUUAGGAGGAACACCGACGGCGAAGGCGGCCUGCCGGACCGUAACUGACGUUGAGGCUCGAAAGCGUGGGGAGCAAACAGGAUUAGAUACCCGAGUAGUC